GGAACAGCCUGUGCUGUGGGUACGAGCCCAAUUUUCCCUUCAGCCUGGCGUGGCCUAGGAAACCCCACAUUAACUGUGGUAAACAAAUCAUUAGGAACCCAUCAGGCCUGGCCCCACCUCCUUCUGCAGAUGCCCGGGCAAGCAAGCCAGUGUCAUUUAAAACAGCUUUCUGAGUUUUGAUCAGGGGUUUUGAAGCUGAGAGUCAGGUGAAGCAGGUAACUGGGAAAUCAGUCUGCAGAAAGCUGAUCAAGCCAUAAAUGAACUAGAAACAAUACAGGGGCUUGAAGACUACUCCGGUAAGAGCGAUGGUCUCCAUCAAAAGGACAAGAAGAAAGCAAAGUGGGAACUGCAGCCUGGGAUGUUUUGUUCACUGAGAUCCCAAGGCCAUCUCGGGCAAGUGAGAAGAAAGGGAGCAAAUCUGAUGGCUUGAAAAUGCAGCUGGGCAUGGUGGCAUACGCCUGUAAUCCCAGCACUUGGGAAGCAGAGGCAGGUGGAUUUCUGAGUUCGAGGCCAGCCUGGUCUACAGAGUGAGUUCCAGGACAGCCAGGGCUGCACAGAAAAACCCUGUCUCGAAACAAACAAACAAACAAACAAACAGAAACAACACAAAACAGAAAUUAAGGGGGCUGGAGAGAUGGCUCAGCGGUUAAGAGCACUGACUGCUCUUCCGAAGGUUCUGAGUUCAAAUCCCAGCAACCACAUGGUGGCUCGCAACCAUCCAUAAUGAGAUCUGAUGCCCUCUUCUGGUGUGUCUGAAGACAGCUACAGUGUACUUACAUAUAAUAAUAAAUAAAAUCUAAAAGAAAAAGAAAAAGAAAAGAAAAUGCUUCUGGAGGGAGGACACACAACUUGCUUCUCUGCUCCUUUAAGGGCAUGGUCACCAACCAGGGAAAGUAGGUAAAAGUGUUUUGUAGAAAAGAAAUGUUGGCUUAGAGGUAUGAGCUUGAACUUUUAUUUACUCUUAAAAAAUUAAAUCACAUUUUGCUUAAUUGUGCCACUGGUCUUUAUUGCUGACUCUAUAUAAUUUCAUGUUUCUCUUCAAGGCUGAGUUGAAAAUGAAUGGUGGCUCUUGCCUAGGUCUUCAAGGGCAGAGCCACUCCUAGCUCACGCUGGCAGCAGAAAUCGAACCACCCUUGCUUUUUCACCUGAUUCAAUUACUUCCUAGAGAAGGAAAAACAAUGCUGUUGAUUGAUCAUGGUGAUGAUAAGGAGUGUGAUGAUGAUGACAAUGGUGGUGGUGAUGAUUAUUAACCUAUGUCAUUGCUUUAUAUUGUUCCAAGAACUGUUUUAUAUGCUUUAGAAUAAAAUAUCCCACUUAGUCAUUAUAACAUUGGUUAUUGGCCUCCAGUUUCUAAGUUAGAAAACCUGAGGUUCACCAAGGUUAGGUAUAGCUUGCUCAAGAUAAGAUGUCUAGCUGGCUUUAAAAUAAAACAUCCAGACCUUAGAGUCUAUGAAUGUAAUAAUCUCUUCAUCUCCACAGAUCUCUGUAAAUCACAGUGGUUUCCUGGAAUAAAGGUGAGUGAAGGUGACCUCACCCGGUCCACACAGCGAAAGCUGGGUGAGUGUAGACCUUCUAUGAGAUGGUGAAUAUAGGGCUCGUCCACUGUUCUAGCUGCAGAGACAGGACUGGGUCUUGGAUGUUCUGGCAUAUGGGAGGAUUGUCGACAAGACAUAGCAGAAAGGCGAAGGGGUGGGGGUGGGGGUGGGAGCGGGAAGUGACGGAUGCAAACAUGUGACCUGUGCAACCUUGGGUCCUACUCUUAACGCCUUUGCUCUGGUUUUCCAAGGAAAUUCUUGGGCUGAGUCAUCUCUAAUGAUGCUAUCCUUAUAAAGUGGCCCUGCCAGCAACCCAAUUAGGAAGUAAUUAUUGGAAAGGCAAGGGCAGUGUCGAAUAGGUUUUUGUACAUUGAAAAAUAAUGAGCAGAGAGUUGCUUAAGUGUUCUAGAGAUCUGAAAACAUUAGCUCUAGUUACCUUUUUUUUUCCCUUCAGUGUUUUGUUUUGUUUUGCUUGGUGCUGUGGACCUGAAGCUAGUGAAUAGAUGAACAUUAUUUAUGGAUAUUCCUGGAUGCUCAAGGAACACUCAGGACAGAAUGAGUCAUUAUUUAGCAAUGGGAGUGUUACAGAAGGCCGUGGAAGCAGAGGAUAUGGAGACACAUAAGGACAUUCUCCUUGUUUUGGCUCUAGGAUUCCCACCCUGUGUGUGAAUAUUAAUUCAGAAUACUCAUGCCUUUCUAGGAAGUCCUUGGAAAUGUGUGUGGGGAGUUCUGUCAUCAACCUAACUAGAAAAUUUCCUUUGAAUGUGCUGGAUGGAGAACGCUAAGGGUACAAAUCUUGGGUCCUUCAUACACAAUAAAGAAUUAUCCCAUCCCAAAUGUGCUUAGAUCUCUGGCCAAGAAGGAACCGAAGAGGGUUGCAUGGUUGAAAACAUAGCAAACCUUUUGGUACAGUUUUCUGAACGUUGAUCAAUAAUGUAUCCAUUAACUUGGGGAACCUGCACACUGCCCAUACAUUAUCCAAAUCAAAUGGACAGUUCUGAUAAGAGUGGAGGAAUGGCCCUGUGCCCUUAGCCAACACAUCCUUUUCUUAGGCUUCACUGUCCCCAUCUUUACAGAGCUAAUAUCCUUGGACUCCCUAAGUUCUCUCUCUAGAAAAAAACAAAACAAAACAAACAAACAAACAAAAAAACUGUGUUAAAAAAAACCAAGGUCUAGAAAUGUUUUCACUUUGUGAAUGGUCAACACGUGUACUUCCUUUAACAAAAAUGUAUAAGUUUAAAUCAAAACUUAACAGAAGAGACCCUAUGCAUGUAUGGAAAUGCCACAGUGAAACCCUUAACAUAUACAAGUUGUAUGCAUCAAUAAUUAUAAUAACCUAUACAAGGUGAUCCACACCUGUAAUCUGGCCGGGAGGAAUUAGGAGGAUUAUAGGUGUAUAGCUAGCAUGAGCUACGCAGCCAUUCCUAGUUAGUCCAGCUUAGGCUACAUGAAAAGUCUGUCCAAAACAACAAUGACAACAAUUAACAGCAGCAGGAAAUAAACAGGACUAAGUGAUCUCAGAUAACAAAGUAGGAUCUUAAGUUAAUGUAUGAAUAUUUGAAUUUUAUCAAAUCCACACACUCUGUCCAUGAACUACCUACCCCGAGACAGAAGUCGAUCCUACAAAGCAAGGUUGCUUAUGAAUAAAGUCAGGAUAAUUCUAAACCAUGGGCAGAGUAAAAAUAAUUUAGGUAAACUAUAUUUUGGGGUGGUGCUAUGGAAUAGCUGUGGCUCUCAGAGCUGGUGCCACAGAACGAGGCUGGGUCACUGAACUGUGAGACAGAAAGCACAUGGACUCUUCUUCCUUCUGUUUGUUGCCCACCCGAGUCAGUCCGCAGACAGUUCCCAGCGGUCAAGAGAGAGCGUUAACUGUUCUUUUAAAUGUCCCUUUUAUUAAAAUGUCAUGUUUGUGCUUUGGUUUAAGACGGUGGAGUUAAGUGGAAAACCACACAGCUGAACUGUGAAAACUUCAGAAACUUGGCCUGUGUGUUGCUGGGUUUCAGGCUUUUGUCUUUUGUCUUCCCCUUUGGAAGGCUUCUGUUUCCCUUUGUUUCACUUUAUGCUUUCAUUCUGGAAGAACUCAGUGUGUUCUAUUGCUUCUGUGACUCGAGGCCUCUAUCACAACCCCCUAGUUUCGGUAGGAAUGGUGACCCAAGAAGCAAAGAAUUUGACCCCAGAAAAUAGCAAGGGGAUGAGAGAACCAGCUAUGACCAUAGGAUUAAUGCCCUGUGGGUCUAGGGCAAAAGGGUGGGCUUUAACAGUUUCUGAACCACACUUUCACUGGUCCUCCAAGGGUCCCACUGCUCUGAGCAAUGGAGACAGGAAAAUGGAGAAAGUCAGAUUUCUGGGUCUCCUGCAGGCCUAGUGCUUCUCUUGUGUUAUCUUGAUUGCUAUUUCACCAGCCUUGGACACUAGGCACUAAUUAAUGUCACUAAUUAAUGUCAUAGUACAGAUGAGGAACUAGAACCUUGGGGAACCGCAGUGAUAAUCCGAAGAACAGAUAUUUUGUAUUCUGCCUUCUGUCUCUUUCCAAAUUGUUCGUUGUGUGACUCCUACUUUCUGGGACCCAUGAACUAAAUCUUGGACAGUUCUUAUCUAUGUGAGCUCCUCCUGGCUCUGGAGGCUCUUGGGUGACACCUACUGGCUCUCAAGGCUCUGGGGACACCUGAGAGACUUCUUAGGUCUUAAGUCAAUGUGAGCUAGUGUGAGGGUUAUGACUCGGGUCUCGGCUUUUCCAUUUAACAGUUGGGCACUCAGUCAAGUUUUUAUGAUUUUUGCACCCUCAGUUUCUUCACUGAUGGCAUGGAUAUAAUACGUGCUUUCUCAGGAUUGCUGCGAUAAAGAAAUGAUCUAUACCAGACACUCAUGGUGAGCAGUGACUCUUCUAGCCUGCCUCCUGUUAUCCAGUGUCUCCUCACCCAAUAUAAUAGCCUCCUCCCAAAUCUGUCAGAAGGACCUUGGAAGGAGAGGGUAAGAGAAAAAAAAUAGGUCUUGGGAUCUGGAGAACAAAUGUGAAUGUCUAUAACCCAGAUCAAGAUCAGCUCCCCCAUUGAUUCUCAGCUUUUUGGGUAAGAUCAAGCGAAGACAGUACCCACUGAUCCUCAGGCCUGUGUUCCAGGGACUAUUUUUGCAGUACAGGGGUAAGUCUCAGAACAAUUGAGAGGUAUAGCUCAGGCCUCUUUCCUGA
rnacentral:lncRNA from 1 species